AUUCUUCAUGAACACUUUAUUGGAUAUAUUCUAAAAGAAAAAUGAUCUUAAUCCAAUCCAUGGAGAUCAAAGGUGAAGUCUAAAGUUUUCUCUUUGAUACACUUGAGUUGAUCCCUAAGCAAAAAGGACAAGUUUGAGUUGACUCUGGCACGUUUCUUCAAGUGGCACAGUCAAUGAGUCGACCCCCACAAAACAUGAGUCGACCUUUGUGUAGUUCAUAGUAAACAGAGAGAUUUUACUGCCUGAGACAAGAUUUGAAGAGUCGACCCUUGUUCCAAAUGAGUCGACCCUUGUUCCAAAUGAGUCGACUCCCGACAUUAAAGAGUCGACACUUAUGUUUGAAGAGUCGACCCCAGUUCAGUCUCAGCGUUGGCCAGAAAAAUUAUUGGAUGAGUCGACCCUUGUGUUUAAAGAAGCGACUCCUGAAGAGAAUGAGUCGAUCCUUAAGGUUAAAGAGUCGACCCUUUAAAGUUGCAACAGCAAGAGCCAUCUCAA
rnacentral:lncRNA from 1 species